GUCCACGCUGUAAACGAUGAAUGCUAGCCGUUGGCGAGCUUGCUCGUCAGUGGCGCAGCUAACGCUUUAAGCAUUCCGCCUGGGGAGUACGGUCGCAAGAUUAAAACUCAAAGGAAUUGACGGGGGCCCGCACAAGCGGUGGAGCAUGUGGUUCAAUUCGAAGCAACGCGAAGAACCUUACCAGCCCUUGACAUCCCGGUCGCGGAGAGCAGAGACGUUCUCCUUCAGUUCGGCUGGACCGGAGACAGGUGCUGCAUGGCUGUCGU
rnacentral:rRNA from 1 species